rnacentral:rRNA from 1 species
CAGCAGCCGCGGGAAUACGAAGGGUGCAAGCGUUACUCGGAAUUACUGGGCGUAAAGCGUGCGUAGGUGGUGGUUUAAGUCCGUUGUGAAAGCCCUGGGCUCAACCUGGGAAUUGCAGUGGAUACUGGGUCACUAGAGUGUGGUAGAGGAUAGUGGAAUUUCCGGUGUAGCAGUGAAAUGCGUAGAGAUCGGAAGGAACAUCUGUGGCGAAGGCGACUAUCUGGGCCAACACUGACACUGAGGCACGAAAGCGUGGGGAGCAAACAGGAUUAGAUACCCGGGUAGUUCCUGUCUCUUAUAC